AGUGAACGCUGGCGGUAGGCCUAACACAUGCAAGUCGAACGGCAGCACAGUAAGAGCUUGCUCUUACGGGUGGCGAGUGGCGGACGGGUGAGGAAUACAUCGGAAUCUACUUUUUCGUGGGGGAUAACGUAGGGAAACUUACGCUAAUACCGCAUACGACCUACCGGGGAAAGCAGGGGAUCUUCGGACCUUGCGCGAUUGAAUGAGCCGAUGUCGGAUUAGCUAGUUGGCGGGGUAAAGGCCCACCAAGGCGGCGAUCGGUAGCCGGUCUGGGGGGAUGGUCAGCCGCACUGGAACUGAGACACGGUCCAUACUCCUGCGGGAGGCAGCAGUGUGGAAUAUUGGACAAUGGGCGCAAGCCUGAUCCAGCCAUACCGCGUGUGUGAAGAAGGCCUUCGGGUUGUAAAGCCCUUUUGUUGGGAAAGAAAAGCAGCAGGUUAAUACCCCGCUGUUCUGACGGUACCCAAAGAAUAAGCACCGGCUAACUUCGUG
rnacentral:rRNA from 1 species